CCUACGGGAGGCAGCAGUGAGGAAUAUUGGUCAAUGGCCGGAAGGCUGAACCAGCCAUGCCGCGUGAAGGUCAGUGCCCUAUGGGCGUUAAACUUCUUUUGUGCGGGAGCAAUAAUGGUCACGUGUGGCCAGACGAGAGUACCGUACGAAUAAGCAUCGGCUCACUCCGUGCCAGCAGCCGCGGUAAUACGGGGGAUGCAAGCGUUAUCCGGAAUUAUUGGGUUUAAAGGGUGCGUAGGCUGUGAGGUAAGUCAGCGGUGAAAUGCCCCCGCUCAACGGGGUGAAGUGCCAUUGAUACUGCCUGGCUGGAAUGCGGAUGCCGUGGGAGGAAUGUGUGGUGUAGCGGUGAAAUGCAUAGAUAUCACACAGAACACCGAUUGCGAAGGCAUCUCACGAAUCCGCGAUUGACGCUGAUGCACGAAAGCGUGGGUAUCAAACAGGAUUAGAUACCCUGGUAGUC
rnacentral:rRNA from 1 species